ensembl:lncRNA
GGAGUAUAGCGUUGUAGGGGCAGGGGGGGGCUGUGAUCUGGGCCAGAGGUCAGAGGGGGUUCUGGAGCUGCCUCUGAGUCAGCCGGCAGCAUCCCGUCCGAGGUCGUCCUCCCGUCGGAGACAUGAAAGGAAGGAGGGAGUCAUGGAGCUGUGGUCAGCUGACUCACCGGUAGGAACGGCUGAGGAGAUAGAGGCACGUGCUGUGUGUGUGUGUGUGUGUGUGUGUGUGUGUGUGUGUGUGUUGUAUCCUUGUGCUCCUGACGGAUGCACCAAUUAUUUAAUUUCCUUUUCCCGGUGUUGGAAUGCCGGAGAGGGAUUCCUGUGCUCUGAGUGUUGGCCGCGUCACCUAUCUCCACCACCUAGAUCCUGUUUCAUCCUCCCUGCCCCGAACCCGGGACUUUCCCGGUGUUUUGCGUGGCCCGAGAUUGAGGAAGUGAGUGAGGGAACUAUCACCACAGAUUGUAUUUUCUGGGGCUGCUUACAAGAGCUGUGGUGUAGAAGGAUGACGUGUGGAUUGGAGCACAUGGUACGAGGCGAGUGGGCAUACUGCAAGUGUUUUAAGAUGGUGCGGUAGAGAAAGGUGUUUUACAAAGGGUUAAUACGCCGGCAAACACACCCAGGAUACGCCGGCUGUGGGUACACAUGGGUGUGCUUGUGCGUUCUUGACGUGCGUGUGCACAGCCGAUGCACCGGCGUGGUGAGGUGAAUGAACAGAGGAGGAGGAUGUAGAGCACCGCGGAGGCUGGCUGACUCACCACGAGUCACGGUGAUCGCCCCAGACAAGCGACUCCCUUUUACUGUAAAGAGGUGACAGUGGGGUGGGGGUGUGUGUGUGUGUGUGUGUGUGUGUGUGUGUGUGUGUGUGUGUGUGUGUGUGUGUGUGUGUGUGUGUGUGUG